AUGAUGGACUAUAGGACAGGACUGCUGCUUUUAACUAUCUGCUGGGCAGGUGUUGAUGGUCAGACUCUGACAGAAUCUGAACCAGCAGUUAAAAAGCCUGGAGAAUCCCACAAACUGACCUGUACAACAUCUGGAUUGUCAUUCAGCAGCUACUACAUGGCCUGGUUCAGACAGGCUCCUGGAAAAGGACUGGAGUGGGUUGCAACUAUCAGUUAUGAUGGUAGUAGCAAAUACUACUCUCAGUCAGUUCAAGGCCGGUUCACCAUCUCCAGAGACAACAGCAGAGAGCAGCUGUAUCUGCAGAUGAACAGUCUGAAGACUGAAGAUUCUGCUGUUUAUUAUUGUGCUGGAAUGAUGGACUAUAGGACAGGACUGCUGCUUUUAACUAUCUGCUGGGCAGGUGUUGAUGGUCAGACUCUGACAGAAUCUGAACCAGCAGUUAAAAAGCCUGGAGAAUCCCACAAACUGACCUGCACAACAUCUGGAUUGUCAUUCAGUAGCAAGUGGAUGGCCUGGAUCAGACAGGCUCCUGGAAAAGGACUGGAGUGGAUUGCUGAAAUUAGCAGUGGUGGUGGUAGUAGCACAUACUACUCUCAGUCAGUUCAAGGCCGGUUCACCAUCUCCAGAGACAACAGCAGAGAGCAGCUGUAUCUGCAGAUGAACAGUCUGAAGACUGAGGAUUCUGCUGUUUAUUAUUGUGCUCGA